UAGACAUUGGGUAGGGGAGCGUUCUGUAAGCCGUUGAAGGUGAAUCGUAAGGUUUGCUGGAGGUAUCAGAAGUGCGAAUGCUGACAUGAGUAACGACAAAGGGGGUGAAAAACCUCCUCGCCGGAAGACCAAGGGUUCCUGUCCAACGUUAAUCGGGGCAGGGUGAGUCGACCCCUAAGGUGAGGCCGAAAGGCGUAAUCGAUGGGAAACGGGUUAAUAUUCCCGUACUUCUGACUAUUGCGAUGGGGGGACGGAGAAGGCUAGGUGGGCCAGGCGACGGUUGUCCUGGUUCAAGUGCGUAGGCUUGAGAGUUAGGUAAAUCCGGCUCUCUCUAAGGCUGAGACACGACGUCGAGCUACUACGGUAGUGAAGUCAUUGAUGCCAUGCUUCCAGGAAAAGCCUCUAAGCUUCAGAUAGUCAGGAAUCGUACCCCAAACCGACACAGGUGGUCGGGUAGAGAAUACCAAGGCGCUUGAGAGAACUCGGGUGAAGGAACUAGGCAAAAUGGUACCGUAACUUCGGGAGAAGGUACGCUCUUGAUGGUGAAGUCCCUCGCGGAUGGAGCUGACGAGAGUCGCAGAUACCAGGUGGCUGCAACUGUUUAUUAAAAACACAGCACUGUGCAAAAUCGCAAGAUGACGUAUACGGUGUGACGCCUGCCCGGUGCCGGAAGGUUAAUUGAUGGGGUUAGCGCAAGCGAAGCUCUUGAUCGAAGCCCCGGUAAACGGCGGCCGUAACUAUAACGGUCCUAAGGUAGCGAAAUUCCUUGUCGGGUAAGUUCCGACCUGCACGAAUGGCGUAAUGAUGGCCACGCUGUCUCCACCCGAGACUCAGUGAAAUUGAAAUCGCUGUGAAGAUGCAGUGUACCCGCGGCUAGACGGAAAGACCCCGUGAACCUUUACUACAGCUUGGCACUGAACAUUGAACCUACAUGUGUAGGAUAGGUGGGAGGCUAUGAAGACGUGACGCCAGUUGCGUUGG
rnacentral:rRNA from 1 species